GUGAUGAUAACCCGAUUAUAUUUAUGGUUAGAACGUAAUGAAAAAUAAUGAUUCUAGACUAGGGCGGACUGAUUUA